CUGACAGCCCGUAUCAAAGGGCCCGGUACCCCAUAUUAUGGAAGACGAGAUGUUUAAUUUCCAAUUGCGAUUCUCACCAGGUAAACAGACUCAGCCUUAGAAUAAAAGAGUAAAAACAGGACCAAGUUUUGAUUGCAUGCUUUGCUUAAUCAAAAUUGUUUCUGCUUUCAGUUUUGUCUUUUCCAGAAGCUGAAAAUCUGUCCCAUUCUAGCCGCCUUCUUCUGAUGGAAGACACCUAAAUAUCUCCAGAACAGGAGGAGUGAGACCUGGAGAGACGGUAUGAUAAACCAAACAAUGAAAAAUAUGGCUAAAGUUACAUUUUGAUUUAAGCAAUCAGAAUUUCAGGUAACUGGAACAGACCUCUCCUGACAAUUGGAUGUUAACGCUCAAUACAAAGCUCAGUAAAACUCUCUACUGAAAGUAUGCCCUUGGGCCACAUCAACAUCUUGGGGUCAUUCCUGAAAUACAGUGUACAUUUAAUACUAACCUAAAUCUAAGAACUAUAUAUAUUAGGAAACUUCUCACUUCUUCAGAAUAAGACUUUCUUAGGAAAAUAAAUCAAUAAAUUAAGGGUUGUAUUAACUGAUCUUUCAAAUUAGAACCAGAAAAUUUAAUUUCCAAUUUAAUUAUUAAAACGAAACUAAAAUUAUUCUGCAAUUUUGAAGCACUAUAGAACCAAGUAGCACUUAGGAAAUACAUUGCUUUAAGAAGGAAUACAAGCAAAUGAACAUAAAUAAGUAAAUAAAUUAGCACUAUGAGUAGGAAAUAGCUAUAAUAAGUGAUGUUGACAAAUAUGUUGGAAGGUACAUAAGAUCAACUCGUGGAAUCAUUUAAAGUAUACAAGAAGGGUUAACAUCUUCUAACUGGGAAAACAAAACAUUUUAAAAGAGGAACAAAUUUAGCAAUUUCUUAAUAAAUUUGAUUAACAUUUUCAGGAGUAAAAAUGAAACUGAAGCUUUGUUGUCAUAGGCAUAACUCUGCCUAUGACAACUGAUAGGAGCAGAGCACACAUAAACGAGUCAAAUGUGAAACAAAGAUGCAAUAUUAUUAGAUAAUAUAAAACUAUGUAAAUACCAAUUUCUAAUUUAAAUCAAUAAGCUCUACAUAAAAAUUGGGUCCAAAUAAUAGGAAAUGAAUCCAUGGCAGAUAAAAGUAAAAGCUUCAUAACAACAAAAUCCUUAUUUAGCCUGAAAUCAAAAUCUGAAAUAUUUAAUAUGGUUAUUGGCCAGAUAUUAUAGCCUGAAAUUGGAAGUAUGUUGAGGAAGUAUUUUAGUCAUAGAAUUGAAAACUAUAUAAUGUUAACCUAAAAGGCAUGUUGCAUUACAGGUUAAUGCUGACUCACGUCAAACAGAAAUUCAUCAGCAACUGUCAGAACCAAAGUAGGACAGAGUAACUUAAGCCUUAACAUUGAUUGUAUCUGCAUCAUGUAAUAUUUGAUCAGUUCUCGGAAUACAAGGAUGAUAAUCAUAGGUUAUAACCUAAGUCUACUGGCAAAUUACAAUUUUCUUACUUGAAAAGUAUGCAACCCAAUUGCCUAACAGAACCAUUUUUAGCAAAAUAAUAAAAUAAGCUACAUUAUGGAAUUAUGUAUGGCAACUCAAAAUAAUUUUUUCUAAGUUGCACAUAAACUAAGCAAUAAAAACAUGGCGAUAUGAAUUAGAUGUGAUUAAUGUAUGUGGUCUAGUUUAUCCAAGGUAACAGUAAUAUUUAAUCUGAAGUGUUAUUCCCAACAGAUUGCUUCCGGUAUCAACGAUAAGAGCAAUAUACUUAAAUACACGGAAAACAAAACGAGUUCAAUGGAAUAUUUAUAUUUCAACACUGACCUUAGUUGUAAGAACAUAAAACCUUCUCUUGGUUGCAGGUUUACUUAAGCAUAGAAGGAGCAACAUCCUGAAUAUGAGGCAUUAACCCUAACAAUUAAAAUCUUCGUGAACUGAAUUACAAUAUAGAGUGCAUGAUCUAAUCCUUUGUCAUGAUGGAUUUACUAUUUUCAGACCCACAUGCAGAACACAAUACAGGAGAGGUAUGUACGGUAAUUGGUUUAUUGUUAAAUGGCAAGUAAGGUUGUCGAAGCUCUGGUCUGGUCCAGGGAGGAAACGGGUUCACGGAGCGAUCGGCUCUCUAAAGAGGCAGAGCAGAAUGGUGAGUUCAGGGUUGUCGGAAACAGGAAAGUCACAGAGUAAACGGAGCUUACUUGUGGUUUGAUGGCACGAGGUCUAGGAAAGUUUACUGGAGGGUUUGGAGUCUUUGUCCCUUAAGUGGUCCAGGUGGUCCGGUGCCUGACGGCUGGUGUCCAGGAGGAAAACAGAGGAGUGCGUCGGAGGGCGGACAGGUAGGCUUGGGCUUGGCGGGGACAAAGGAGCAGUGCAACUGCCAGUCGUGGAAUCCGGGGGGGGGACUUGUAAUCAGACUGAGGAGGUGAGUCUGGGAACUCGGGCAACCAGUGGGUAGGAUCCAUGGCGUCACGAGGGGGAUCUCGAUCAGAGAAGCAGACAGGAUCAGUAAGGGCUUCUCCGGGGAAAAACCUGAAGGCAAAAAACAGCAGGAAAAAAUCACUAGAGGAUUCAGAUCAACGAGGAAAGAUUAGAGGCUAGCUCUAGGGGGCUCAGAGGUACCGUUACUGGCAAACACUCGGGCGCUGAAGGACUGGCAGAAGCCUCCUUUAGUACACGCCGCUGAUGAGUUGAUCAGGUUCAGGUGUGCUUGAUGACGGUCUACACACACACUCCAGUCGGGUGAGUAUGGCGCCAUCUGUAGUAAUAGGUGAGUGUAUGCACAGAAAAACCCACAAAGAAGAACCAAAGGACCCCGAACCACAACAUCCUUAUUACUAUAAUUACACAUUACAACAAAUAACAGACAGUUAGAUUUUUGGGGAAAUCUGGAAUAUGAUGUUUUAACCUCCUGAGACCCCGCAUCCUCAUAUGAGGACAUUACAUUUUUGCUGUUCUGCACCAUGAUACUUAAUUUGUAAGAAUUUUGACCAAUUGCCCUCAUCUGGGGGCCCUGCCUGCACCAGGUGGUCUCAUAAUGAAAUUACACUCAUUUGAAAAAAAACAACAUGGCGGGGAUGACAGCAAACGUCUUCUACGGCAGCUCUCGACAGAAACAUGGACAAGGUAAAAAUCCUAAUCAAAUUUUAUGAUUGAAACUAGUUUAUUUAUGCACAAUAAUGUCUGUAGCUUCACGUGGCAUGCUUAUUUGAUAUAUUUGAGUAAUAUUAGCAAGCUACAACGUCUGUAAACAUGACGUACUUCUUUAAGGACAUCAGGUCUACCUUCAGUGCAAAAACGUAAAAUUUUUCCAAGAACAUUUGUGUUUAUUUCUAGUCAAAAUGUCUAAUUUCUAGUCAAAAUAAGUCUUAUUACACUUAAAAUAAGACUCAUCCUGUAAAAAGUAACUUGUUUUUAGACAAUCACCACUUGUUUCAAGCGAACUUUCACUAAAAAAUAAGUAGAAUAAUUUGCCAGUGGAGCAAGUUUUUAUUUCCUAUUACAAGGAAAUAGAUUGUGCAUUUUUAUCAUUACAGGGGGAAUGUCCUUUUUGAGAGCUGAACGAUUGCUAAAUGCAAUCGCAAAUGACUCUGAGAUUGAAGAUUUGUCAGAUGGUGAAGAGGAUGAUCCUGCUGUGGGUGAAAUCGCUCCAUGUGAAGCAACUGUGGAGCAACCUGAUGAUUCUGAUUCAGAUUAUCAACUUGAUGCUGCUGACAUAAGUGAAGAUACUGACAGCGAUGUGAGUGAGCCACAACAUAAACAACAAUUGAUGAACCUGACCAGGAUGUUCAAGGUCGCAGGGCAGGACCAAGAAAUGGAAAUAGAGAGUACUGGAAGUCUGCUCCAUUCAACCCUGUCUUAGUCCCAUUUCAAGGAGCUGAUGAACAACAAGACGAGAGAGCAGAUAUGUCGCCGGUGCAGUACAUGGAACAGUACGUUGACAUAGAACUGAUGAAAGUCCUUGCCGACUGUACAAAUUCUAUGUCAUUAGCUAAAAGUGGGAGAUCUCUCAACACAUCGGUUGAAGAGAUGUACCACUUUUUCGGAGCAUCCAUCUUGAUGUCCUGCAUCCCUUACCCACAAAUCCGCAUGUUCUGGUCCACUAACCUGAGAGUCCCUGCCAUUAGUGACACAAUGAGACGCGACCGAUUCUUCAAGCUGAGGAGCCAUCUGAAGGUGGUAAUUGAUGACGACAUUCCUGAAGACAGGAAAACAGACAAAUUCUGGAAGGUGAGGCCUUUCAUGAAUCGCAUACUCAAAGGCUGCCAUGCUCAGGCCCGACCAGAAUCCAUCUCAAUAGAUGAACAGAUGAUACCAUUCACUGGAGGCUGUCCGUUCCGCCAGUAUUUGCUGCUAAAGCCAAAUCCAGUUGGCAUGAAGAAUUUUGUCCUGGCAACAGCAGAUGGCGUCGUUCUCGACUUUGAAGUUUACCAAGGUUCAAAGGAACUGGCUGCACAGGUGCUGGACGCAGAAGGAUUGGGUUUGGGAGCCCUGGUCCUCAAACUCCUGACAAAAACAGUACAUCCUGGUACAAAGGUGUACUGCGAUAGGUUCUUCACCACCACAUAAGCUGCGGAAUCCAUGCUGGAGAAGCAGGUGUACCUAACUGGUACAGUCAUGAAGAACAGGAUCCCAAAAGCAAUGCAGAAGCUUCCAAGUGACAAGAUCAUGAAGCAGCAAGGCAGAGGUACCUCCGCAUCAGUUGUCAGGGGAGAUGGGAAACUGAAUGUUGUGAAAUGGUUUGACAACAAGCCCGUCCUGAUGCUCUCUGCUGUCCACACUAAAGAGCCAGAGAAUACCUGCCAGCGGUGGUCCAAGAAGGACAAAUGCUACUUAACCAUCAGACGACCAAAUAUUGUACAGGAGUACAAUGCAAAGAUGGGUGGGGUAGACUUAUCAGACAGAAUGAUGAGCUACUACAGGAUGAGCGUGUGAACAAAGAAGUGGACGAUUCGCAUGCUUAUGCACUUCAUGGAUCUUGCUCUGGCCAACAGCUGGCUGCUGUAUCGCAGAGAUCAUCAAGAACACGGUACCCCAAGAAAGGCUAUCAUGAAGUUCCUCGCAUUCUGCAUGGACGUGGCUCAGGUGUUCCUCAACAAGUGUGAUGUCACGCAUGCAGAGGAAGAGAGUGCAUGCUGUCCACAACCUGGCCAAAGAUCCCAUCUCAGCGCGCACAGCUUCUGCUGCUCAUCUGCCGGAAGUUGCUGAUCUCAAGAACCCGAUGCGUUGCAGACAAAAAGGCUGCCCUGGGAAAUCCCGUGUACGCUGUCUGACAUGCAAUGUGUUCCUUUGCCUGCAAAGUCGGCGCAACUGCUAUGAAGCCUUUCACGGACGCCACUAGGACUACUUGAAUACUUGAAUGUUUGUUUGAGUUUGCUAUGACACGUUCAUAAUGAUGUUCAUAAACGUUGCACUUUUCCAUGCAAAGCCUUUCACAUAGGCAAGCAGGAAUACUUGAAUUAAUACAGUUGAUCUUACGGCAUGUGUAAAAGGUAUAUUCAAUACUCUUGAACAAAUUUCUUUAUUUUGAACAGGUUUGUGUUAAGCAUUCAGACAAACAGGGGCCAAAUGCAGAUCCUCAAUGGGGCCUCCCGCUGUGCGGCCACAGCAUAGGAGGCCAUAAAAUUAGCAUUUCCUGCAGGGCAAUAAAUUGAGCUUGGGAGAGAGAGACCUGGUCUGUUCACAGCAGAUCAAAAGCCUGCAGGAAACCAACAUCUGGGAUGGUGUGAAAAUUUAAUGCAACAUAGAAGAUUGAAACCGCUAACAUUUAAUUUCUAAGUAUUAAUACCAUGUUUUUACUGAAGAUUGUAUUAUCUCAUUUUAAAACUACUAAAU